rnacentral:rRNA from 1 species
GACGAACGCUGGCGGCGUGCCUAAUACAUGCAAGUCGAACGCUUUUUCUUUCACCGGAGCUUGCUCCACCGAAAGAAAAAGAGUGGCGAACGGGUGAGUAACACGUGGGUAACCUGCCCAUCAGAAGGGGAUAACACUUGGAAACAGGUGCUAAUACCGUAUAACACUAUUUUCCGCAUGGAAGAAAGUUGAAAGGCGCUUUUGCGUCACUGAUGGAUGGACCCGCGGUGCAUUAGCUAGUUGGUGAGGUAACGGCUCACCAAGGCAACGAUGCAUAGCCGACCUGAGAGGGUGGUCGGCCACACUGGGACUGAGACACGGCCCAGACUCCUACGGGAGGCAGCAGUAGGAAAUCUUCGGCAAUGGACGAAAGUCUGACCGAGCAACGCCGCGUGAGUGAAGAAGGUUUUCGGAUCGUAAAACUCUGUUGUUAGAGAAGAACAAGGAUGAGAGUAAAACGUUCAUCCCUUGA